AUCCUAGGACACCCCAUCCACCCAAACCUGAAUCUAGCCAGGAAAGUUAUCAAAAUGACUGCCUGCAGGCGCUGGCAAUCCAAUGCCAAGUUUCUUGUUUUUGAAAAGAUGUAAGGUUUUGAAGGCAGGCAUUAUUUGCACUAUGAAAGUUGCAAAUCUGUCUUCUGCUACGAGUUUAGGGAAGACACUGCUUUUGCAAGACGGGGUCUCUGCUCCAGCUUCAUGGACCAGGAAAGCUCCAGCCUGGGGACUGCCUGCAGAGUACUACAGGCUGAGGUCAGGGGCUAGCAAAUCCGCCCUCGUCAUUCACAGGGAGCCAAGUUCCUAAAGGCAGCAAGGAGUGUGCUGGAGACAUUCCACUGCACAGGUUGCAUUGCUGCUCAAAGGCUAAGACAACUGUUAAAUAUUUAGUGAAAAACGAAAAGGGGGGAUGAAAUAAAGAGGCCAAGGACUUCAUUAAGUUUCCUUAGACGUGUUUUUUAAUCCAACUUCAAACAAGAUUUUUAAAAAUUCAAUAAUUACUUGGUUUUACUGUAGUCUGUCUCCAUUGGAGUCAUGUGACUUGAGCAUCAUCCUGUGGAUGAAGGCACAUUUCUACAACUGAAGGGGGCGGGAAUGGAUAUUUUGCUUCGGAAAAGAUAUGCAAUGUGGGAAACGCCAUUUACGUGCAGUUAAAGAGGUGGGUCACCGACUUCUCAUGCCUCCAAGAGAAUGCAGUUCCCAACAAACAUUUCCUAGGUCGCAAACCCCACGUGUUGUAGCUCGGCAGGCUCUGCAGUAAACACUUCACCGCCACCCUCAGAGAUGAGAGGCAGCUGGAGCAACCAGCUUAAGGUUAUCAGUCAGCAGCCAGCCGACCUGAUAUUUCCCAGAGGUCCUGACAUUUUGUAACUGAGCUCCGAGACACUGCCUCAUCACACACCACCACUCACAGGGCUCCUAUCUGGGAACCCUACCCAGAGCCCAGAAGAAACGUCUGCCAGCUCCAACUUGAAGGCCAGAGUUGGUCUGUGAGUACAACACUGGGCGGAUGUGCACCAUCAUGAAUUCACCGUGAGUUUCUUUUCUGCGUUCUGCCCCCUGGUGGAGGUGGUGUGGGACCUACGAAACUGAAGAAACUCCGUGGAUUCCGCAGGGUCUCCCUGCUCUACUUCGCGGUGUCCCUAACGUGGACAGUACUGAUAAGGUGGAGGAAGCCACAACAAAUCAUGCACAGCUGGGGUGGUGAGCACUAGUCUCUCUACCAGGGACCCAGAAGAACAAAGACUCUAUGGAUGCAGUGCUCAGAGACCAGAAGACGGCACAGAAUACCCUGGAGCUGGAGUUACAGAAUGCUGUGAAUGGUAAGAUAUCGGGUCCUACUAAAUCUGUACAUCUAAAGAAACUAAUCAAGAGAGAGGACCCUGACUAAAACGCUCAAUCCCCAUCCUGAAAGGCAAAGAGGAUGGACAUCAGAAGAAGAAAACAGGAAACAACCUAGGAACCUGCCACAGAGGGCCUCUGAAAGGCUCUGCCCUGCAGCCUAUCAAAGCAGACACUGAGACUUAUGGGCAACUGUUGGGCAGAGUGCAUGGAAUCUUAUGUAAGAAGUGGGAAAUAGUAAGAUCUGGAGAGGACAGGAACCCCACAAGGAGAGCAACAGAACCAGAAAAUUUGAACACAGGGGUCUUCCCAGAGACUCAUAAUCUAACCAGGUACCAUGCAUGGAGAUAACCUAGAACCCCUGCACAGAUGUAGCCCAUGGCAGUUUAGUGUCCAAGUGGGUUACAUAGUAAUGGCAAGAGGGACUGCCUCUGACAUAAUCUGAUUGGCCUGCUCUUUGAUCACCUCCCCCUGAGGGGGGAGCAGCCUUACCAGGCUAUAGAAGAUGACAAUGCA